UACACUAAUUUAAAAGUAAAAUGUCAACAGAAAUUUAAAACUAAAAUGUAUUUAAAUACUUUAAACUUACGUGAGAUAUAAGUUUGUAAUAUUGGUUGUCAUUGGAAAAUCAAAAGUAUAUAAGAGUUCUUCCUCAAAAUCAAAGGUGACAAAAAAAUAUAAUACAAAUGUAACACUUUAAUUUGAUGAAAUUAUGCUGUUGUUUAAAUUAUAAAAACAAAAUUGUUGGCAAAAUGCAAUACUUUUUAAAAUAUUCAAUAAAGUCAUUUAAAUGGAUCCUGUGUAUAACAAAAAAUUUAUGAUUUUAUUAAGAUUAGACAUUAGAAUUUAAUAUUAUUAUAAAAUUAAGUUCUACAUUAUUUGUACUUAAUAAAUAGUUAUUUAGAAGAAAAAUAUUUUAUUUUUACUAAAUUAGAUAUUAUUAAGUCAUAAAUAAAAAGUCAAAACAUUUGUAUUUUAGUUUUUACUCAUUACUUCAAAAAACAAAGUAAAAUUCCAAUUAUUUAUAGUAGGUGUAAUGUUGUUAUGUACUUUAACAACACUUAAAUUUAAUUUUUCUAAAUUGUUUAGCCCCAAACUCCAAUGAUUUUAGAUUCUAAGUGAAGCAAAGAAGCUUAUGGAUUUUCAAAGGUGUUUUUUUUCAUCUCUGCACAAUUUCUUUACUAGAAAUAUUGAAUAUAGAAAUAUAUUCAAAAGCUGUGUUCUGCGCUAGCUGAAGUUAUUGGAAUAGUUAAAAUUAUCUUAAGAUCUAUAUCUAAGUUUAGAAACUUGAAAGGCGCGAGUUUUUACUAACCCAUUAUUUUAUUUAUUAUUACAAUGACAAUAGUAACAUUUAUUUGAUUUAUUAAAAUAUGUAGGUACAAUUAAUAACAACUCGAUCAGAGUUCAUGUCCGUUUUGAGUUUUGUCUGUUCCGUGAUUUUUGGAUAAUGGUUGCCAAAGUUAGGGAUUUUUCUGUUUACUGAAGAUUUUGAAGUCUAAAAGGAAUCUUUACUUAGUGAGAGAUUUCUAGUGAUUCCAAGAAAAAAUUAGAUUAAAAAAUUCACUGGACAAUAAUUUUUCUAAUUUGUGUGCUUUUUAUAUUAAAAUGAAUGUAAUAUUGUAGGUAUUAUAAUACAUUGAAAUAUACACUGGGCAAAACAUGUGUGGAGGGCGAGGGAUAAUUAACAAGGUAAGCCGAAUGGAUCAAGAUUAAUGGACACCUAAGUCAAUGGUAGAGCAAUCAAGUCAGCA